UGGGGAAUAUUGCGCAAUGGGGGGAACCCUGACGCAGCCAUNANUNUNNNNNUUCNNGGUUGUAAAGUUCUUUCGGUAUUGAGGAAGGUUGAUGUGUUAAUAGCACAUCAAAUUGACGUUAAAUACAGAAGAAGCACCGGCUAACUCCGUGCCAGCAGCCGCGGUAAUACGGAGGGUGCGAGCGUUAAUCGGAAUAACUGGGCGUAAAGGGCACGCAGGCGGUUAUUUAAGUGAGGUGUGAAAGCCCCGGGCUUAACCUGGGAAUUGCAUUUCAGACUGGGUAACUAGAGUACUUUAGGGAGGGGUAGAAUUCCACGUGUAGCGGUGAAAUGCGUAGAGAUGUGGAGGAAUACCGAAGGCGAAGGCAGCCCCUUGGGAAUGUACUGACGCUCAUGCGCGAAAGCGUGGGGAGCAAACAGGAUUAGAUACCCUGGUAGUCCACGCUGUAAACGCUGUCGAUUUGGGGGUUGGGGUUUAACUCUGGCGCCCGUAGCUAACGUGAUAAAUCGACCGCCUGGGGAGUACGGCCGCAAGGUUA
rnacentral:rRNA from 1 species